AACGCACAUUGCGCCCCCUGGUAUUCCGGGGGGCAUGCCUGUUCGAGCGUCAUUAUGACCAAUCCCGCAAGGGGUCUUGGGGUCUCGCGGUUCGCUGCGGCCCUUAAAAUCAGUGGCGGCGCCAGCGGUGCUCUCAGCGUAGUAAUACUCCUCGCUCGGGAACCACGGUGGAUGCUCGCCAGCAACCUUUACUUUCUUAGGUUGACCUCGGAUCAGGUAGGGAUACCCGCUGAACUUAA
rnacentral:misc_RNA from 1 species